CAAGUACUCCCUCCGUCCGAAAAUACUUGUCGGGGAAAUGGAUAUAUCUAGAUGUAUUUUAGUUCUAGAUACAUUCAAUUUUAUUUAUUUGUGCGACAAGUAUUUUCGGACGGAGGGAGUAUUAC
rnacentral:pre_miRNA from 1 species